UGCGAGACGAGUCGCGGGGCGCAGAGAGCUCACCUUUCUGGCCGCCGAGGGCCGCGUACCAGGAGAGCGAGAGGAAGGCGCACAGGCAGAGCAGCAGCAGCGUCAGGAAGGUGCCAUUGCGGAGCCUCAUCUCCUCCGGCAGGAUGCCAGUACUGGGAAAGCAGUGCUGCUCGCCCAACUUGCUGAUGAACUGGACAGGCUGAGACUGGCAUUGCGGAGCCUUCUGGAGGAAACUGGCUUAUUCCAAGUGCCUCAGUUUUCACCUUCUAUUUGUAGCAAGGGAUAAGAACUUUCAUUUGGGCUGUGAUACAAAAGGUUUAUUUACUUAUUUAUUUUAAUGUGUGUUGAAGCUUAAAAUGAGUUGAUUUAAGGAAAUUGAACCAGUAAAAAUUAAGGACAUGGCCUGUCAGUAACUAAAGUUCGGGAAGCUCACCUCUCCCCUCCACACUUUGGCUUUGGAACAGGAGGAGCAGGGAGGGGGCUGGGGGGAUGACUCAGAAGGGGGGUGGCAUUCUGCCCCGACCCCUAGAGACUGCAAGGCCUUUGUCAGGAAUGGGACUUCUGUGGGCCAGGGUUGGGGAAGGGGGCAGUCAGGUCCGGAGUGAUGGGAGAGGGGCCAGGGUGAGUCGCCUGGAGGGGGUCACACUCCAAAACUGGUGGCUGAGUUUGGGCAACCAUGGCGUUCAGGCGAUAGAGACCGAGGACAGUCUUUCCGAUUCCCCCAGCCCUGCUGUUUCCUCCCCACUGCCCCAGCAGAAUACCAGGAGGGGGUCCUCUGGGCCAUACACCACUUAGGGGCAGGCGCUCGCCACUGGGCUGAGAAUGGGUCAGCACCAGGCUUGCCUGUCCUGCCAGUACUGUACACCGAGGGCAAGAAGGACAGUGUGGUGCUGCUACCAGGAGGGGCUGGAGAAGAUGGUUGUGGAGUGAGCAGAAGCCUAGGGGACCCUGGCCCCCAGGGCCUGCAUAAGUAGCAACGCAGUGAGGGAAGGCCCACCGCAGGCAUGCAUCAGGCCCUGCGACCCCUCCCCAAAGCCUCUGCACUCCCAGCUGUAGCCUUUGCAACAGUUGGCUGGCUCCUGGCCAGUUUUCCACAGCUCUCUGUGCCCUUACUGCAAUGCAUUCCUUGGGGUCUGCUUCCACCUCAACUCCCUCUGGCACUUCUAGGCAGGUGAGCUUUGCCUGCCCUCCUGCCACCCAGGAUGGGAUGCCCCCUCACCCAAGAGUUCACCUUCUUUGCUGGAGACAAUGACACUGGCCAGACGGGUGUAGAAAGUCCUGCUUUCUCUCCCGACCAGGCUGUGGCCUUGUCCCCUUUGUUCUUCUUGCUUCCCACAAAGGGAAAAUGCCUUUGAGUUGGAAUUCCAAGCCAGCCCUCAGCCCACGCUGCUCUGGAGAUUUUCUGGGACAGCCUCCAGAGGUGGCUGCUCCUUCCAUCCUUCCUCACGGGGCUUCUUAACCUAUGGCCUAGGGAUCCAGUGUUGGGGAGGUCUAAGAGCUGAGACGAGCAAAGACAGAAGAAAAUCCAUCUUUAUUUUUUUCUAACCUCUAACUGAAACUUGGCAUUUUCUUGAGUUGUGAAUGGAGGCAGCAAAGUCCAGCAGAAUUCGCAGUGCUUGGGGCUGUCACAUGGCAAUCUCCCGGGUUUCCACCCCGCUGCAGGUGCUGCAGCCACUGCGCCCUGGUGUUGCCAGUGCUGACCGGUCCUACCUCUACAUCUUGUAAUGUGAUGAGUUAAUAAAGAAUCACAGCUAUUUCUA